rnacentral:rRNA from 1 species
CAGUAGCCGCGGGAAAACAGAGGGUGCAAGCGUUAAUCGGAAUUACUGGGCGUAAAGCGCGCGUAGGUGGUUUGUUAAGUUGGAUGUGAAAUCCCCGGGCUCAACCUGGGAACUGCAUCCAAAACUGGCAAGCUAGAGUAUGGUAGAGGGUGGUGGAAUUUCCUGUGUAGCGGUGAAAUGCGUAGAUAUAGGAAGGAACACCAGUGGCGAAGGCGACCACCUGGACUGAUACUGACGCUGAGGUACGAAAGCAUGGGGAGCAAACAGGAUUAGAUACCUGUGUAGUCCCUGUCUCUUAUAC